rnacentral:rRNA from 1 species
GACGAACCGUCCUAACGUUGUUCGGAAUCACUGGGCUUAAAGGGCGCGUAGGCGGCUUGCCAAGUCAGGGGUGAAAUCCUGCAGCUUAACUGUAGAAGGGCCUUUGAUACUGGCGAGCUCGAGGGAGGUAGGGGUAUGUGGAACUUCCGGUGGAGCGGUGAAAUGCGUUGAUAUCGGAAGGAACGCCGGUGGCGAAAGCGGUCCGCUGGGUCCCUACUGACGCUGAGGCGCGAAAGCCAGGGGAGCAAACGGG